rnacentral:lncRNA from 1 species
AAAAUUUCUUCAAACAUUUUUUUGAGAGGAUUAAUAUUCAACAGCAUAGUGAAUUGCUCUAAGAGAAAACAAAAAUUUUAAGUUCAUUAAAACACAUUCAUUCUGUGUCAGAAACCUAUGCUGUGUCAACUAUUUAAUCACAAUCCAAAUUUAGAGCUGAAUCCAGCUUGAAUGUUGUGUCCAUACUUGCCCCAACCGUUCAGGGUUCAACCUCUGCGGUCGUAUAAAGCUACGCCCUGCGGAGCAUCUGGUUUAAGGUUAUGAUACA